rnacentral:rRNA from 1 species
GCACAACGCGAAGAACCUUACCUACCCUUGACAUGUCUGGAAUGCCGAAGAGAUUUGGCAGUGCUCGCAAGAGAACCGGAACACAGGUGCUGCAUGGCUGUCGUCAGCUCGUGUCGUGAGAUGUUGGGUUAAGUCCCGCAACGAGCGCAACCCUUUUCCUUAUUUGCCAGCGGGUUAAGCCGGGAACUUUAAGGAUACUGCCAGUGACAAACUGGAGGAAGGCGGGGACGACGUCAAGUCAUCAUGGCCCUUACGAGUAGGGCUACACACGUGCUACAAUGGCGUAUACAAAGAGAAGCGACCUCGCGAGAGCAAGCGGACCUCAUAAAGUACGUCGUAGUCCGGAUUGGAGUCUGCAACUCGACUCCAUGAAGUCGGAAUCGCUAGUAAUCGUAGAUCAGAAUGCUACGGUGAAUACGUUCCCGGGUCUUGUACACACCG